rnacentral:pre_miRNA from 1 species
UUGUUAUGCUAUUGAUCUUAGUUUGAUGAUACUGACAAUGUCAGUCAAUUAUAAUUGACUGACAUUGUCAGUAUCAUCAAACUAAGAUCAUUAAAA